rnacentral:rRNA from 1 species
ACAGCCUAACACAUGCAAGUCGAACGGUAACAGGAAGCAGCUUGCUGCUUCGCUGACGAGUGGCGGACGGGUGAGUAAUGUCUGGGAAACUGCCUGAUGGAGGGGGAUAACUACUUGGAAUACGGUAGCUAAUAACCAGCAUAACGUCGCAANGACCAAAGAGGGGGACCUUACUGGAGCCUACUAUGCCAUACGAGAUAGUAGCCCAAGAUAGGGAUUAAGCUANGUAGAGUUGGGGUAACUGAGCUCACCUAGGCGACUGAUCACCUAAAGACUAGCGUACUAGAAGAAGCGAUAGACCAGCCACCAACUUAGAGAACUAGAAGAACACAGGGUACCAAGAACUCCUAACGGGGAGAGCAAGCAAAGAUAGGGCGGAAUAUAAUAGCCACAAAGUUAGGGGCCAGCAAAGCCUUAGAUAAGGCAUGACUCCAAUUAGCACAGCGUUAGUAAUUAAGC